rnacentral:lncRNA from 10 species
UAAAAAUAAUAAUAAUAAAUAAAAAUAAGCAGCUUUAGAGCAGGAACAAAAUGAAGGCAAGUACACUUGGAAAACGCCCAAGCAGGCAACUCGAAAGAGAAGUCUGCAGUUUGACCUUUGACUUGGGGCUGUUUGUUUUUUGAGACAGAGUCUUGUUCUGUCACCCAGGCUGGAGUGCAAUGGCGGGAUCUCAGCUCAGUGAAACCUCCACCUGCCGGAUUCAAACGAUUCAGGCAUGCGCCACCACACCCAGCUAUUUUUUGUAUUUAUAGCAGAGACAGGGUUUCACCAUGUUGGCCAGACUGGUGUCAAACUCCUGACCUCGUGAUCCGCCCACCUCGGCCUCCCAAAGUGCUGGGAUUCCAGGCAUGAGCCCUCGCGCCCAGCCUGACUUGGGUUCUUAUAGGUUGGCAUGCUUCCAGGGCCUCGCAUCCCUUCUCCCGAGAUUCCUCCCGUGAGUGGGCUGUCUGCGUGUGCCAUGGCCUGCUGGCGCUCGGGAGGGGAGCGUGUGUGGUGCGUUUGCCGCAGUCGUGCGUGUGCUCACUUGAGGCGCUCUUCAUGACCAGCCGCAGGUCCCUUGAAGGCCAUAGACCAGUUAAACUCUGCCAUUUUGCCUCUUAGUGUGCCUGCUCCAGCCCCCUCGCCCAGCUCCUGAGAUCUUACCGGGAAGCUGCUGAUCACCGGUUUCAGGUGUUUGCUGUCUAUUGGGAGCCUGCCUUUCCCUGGUGCCAGCUGCAACAAGUAUUAUGUUACACAGGCAGUUAACAACCGCCUGACCAUCGCCCGAAGGACGACUGAUGCUCCCGGUGUGUGGGAGGGGAGCCCUCUCCUGCCCUGCCCGUGCCUGACCAGCUGCUGCUGUCAUGGGCCCAGCAAUCGUAAGUGACCAGCAGGACACGCUCCUGUGACGAACAGCCCCACCCGUGCUCACGACGGUCAUUCCAACUGUGCUGGCCACGACCAGGACUGGAGACCCAUCCCUCACCCCAAUCUGGUCCCGGCCUCUCUCUUCCGCGACAGAGGUGAUCAAUUUGGGGAUUGGCAGUGACAGGCAUCCAAUGAGGCCCACCUCUUUGAGAGUGCAGAAAAUCAAAGCUGUAGGUCACGGCACAGGGAAACAGAAACGGCCCCAGACUUUGCUCCUACCCCCACCAUUCUUCUAGCGGAUGGGGACCUGUGAGCCUGGUGACCACCACCAAGGAAGCGGCACAGUCAGGAGCGAGGGAGCGGGCUUUGCUCCUUCUCCCUACUGAGCCUCCCAGCCUGGGGAAUUUGAGACUAGAAGACACCCCCUGCACUCUCUGGGGCCAGCCAGAGGCUGAGGGCCCAGGCCUCUACAGUUAGGGGGUUCCCCCAGGGAGCUCGGGAGGAGCCCUGCAGAGCACAGUAGGAUCGGGGCACAGCUGGGUCACAGCCUCUGAGCAGUAUCUUCUGAAACCCUCAUCCUGGCUGGUUGAGCUGCAGGGGAGACCCCCAGAGAGUCGAGGGCGUGUCCUGAAUUGGAGGAGGAAGUGAGGUACAUCCGGGCUGGAGGGGCAGGAACCA